rnacentral:lncRNA from 1 species
CAGCAGCACCCGUGGGGAGGUCCCAUCACCUCAGUCUUCAAGGCAGGUCUUGAAAGCCAAGGCAGGUGGCACAGGGCCUCAGAGCCACACCCUUGAAAGGUGACAUUCAGACCCCCUGGGGAAGGAUGAAUCCAGGGAAGCUUUGGAGCCUCUUCGCCACCAUUCCCAGAGGUGCCACACAGGAGCCAUUCCUUCUGGAGAUAGACUGGUCCUUCCUUUGACCUUGGUGGGAGAACAGGCAAAGAGGACGGAACUCAGGCCCCACCAGGAGAAAGAAGGGGUCAUCCAGCAGAUGCUGCUGCAUCACCCUUGGCAGCCUCCUCUUCCUCCUCUCAGCCCUGGCUGUCCGUGGCUUCUGCGGCUUAUUCUGGGGAAGUGUCUCCUGGGACAGGAAACAGGAGGCUGCGUUAUUCAAUGGGCCAUUCAAGUUGUGAAUGUACUUCUGGCAAGUUUGCUUCUCCAUGCAUGGACCCAAAGCUUCCAGGGCCGAGAAAGGGAAGACCCACAAACAGAAGGAAGGGAAGGCAGACAUCUCACCACCACAGGAACCCACCUACUUACCACCAUGGGUAACCGGUAUACACAGGAACCCAAGAACCAAGAGGAGCAUUGUGAUCAAGGACAGGAGGGUGCAGAAAGAAAAUCAGGACAGAGGGCACUGAGUACUUUUAUCCAGUCACUGGGGCUGGGCAAGACCGAAGAGCAAGCAACCAGCAGAGAUAAGGAUGGCCUCCAUCCAGACCAACCUUAGAUUCCAAGAGGACUCCAGCCCCUUCUCCAUGCACCCCAAGCCAAGGACCCAGCUUCAGACAGGGUCUAAGAAAGCUCAUGUUUGCAUGGCGGCUCUGAUGACAAUUCCCUGGAUAACCUUGGACACAUCCAUUCUCUUCUCUCUGGGCCUCAGUUUCCAUGAGAUCAUAGAUUCAGAGCCAAAAGGGACCUUAGAAGCUAUGAAAUCUAAUGCCCUCAUUUCACAGGUGAGGUUAGGUGAUAAAUCUAGGGUCUCAUACCUGAGACAGCAUUUGAACUUGGACCUUACUGCAUCUAAGUCCCCAGGUUCUGUCCACUAGUUUCUGGGCCACCCAGUUUCUUUCUUUGUAAAAUAAAAGAGGUAAUUAAUUACA